UACGUAGGGUCCAAGCGUUGUCCGGAAUUAUUGGGCGUAAAGAGCUCGUAGGCGGUCCGUUAAGUCGGAAGUGAAAUCUCAAGGCUCAACCUUGAAAUCGCUCUCGAUACUGGCGGACUUGAGGCAGGUAGGGGAAGGUGGAAUUCCUGGUGUAGCGGUGAAAUGCGCAGAUAUCAGGAGGAACACCGGUGGCGAAGGCGGCCUUCUGGGCCUGUUCUGACGCUGAGGCGCGAAAGCUAGGGGAGCGAACAGG
rnacentral:rRNA from 1 species